rnacentral:rRNA from 1 species
GACGAACGCUGGCGGCGUGCGUAAUACAUGCAAGUAGAACGCUGAAGGAGGAGCUUGCUCUUCUGGAUGAGUUGCGAACGGGUGAGUAACGCGUAGGUAACCUGCCUGGUAGCGGGGGAUAACUAUUGGAAACGAUAGCUAAUACCGCAUAAGAGUAGAUGUCGCAUGACAUUUGCUUAAAAGGUGCAAUUGCAUCACUACCAGAUGGACCUGCGUUGUAUUAGCUAGUUGGUGAGGUAACGGCUCACCAAGGCAACGAUACAUAGCCGACCUGAGAGGGUGAUCGGCCACACUGGGACUGAGACACGGCCCAGACUCCUACGGGAGGCAGCAGUAGGGAAUCUUCGGCAAUGGACGGAAGUCUGACCGAGCAACGCCGCGUGAGUGAAGAAGGUUUUCGGAUCGUAAAGCUCUGUUGUAAGAGAAGAACGAGUGUGAGAGUGGAAAGUUCACACUGUGACGGUAUCUUACCAGAAAGGGACGGCUAACUACGUGCCAGCAGCCGCGGUAAUACGUAGGUCCCGAGCGUUGUCCGGAUUUAUUGGGCGUAAAGCGAGCGCAGGCGGUUAGAUAAGUCUGAAGUUAAAGGCUGUGGCUUAACCAUAGUACGCUUUGGAAACUAUUUAACUUGAGUGCAAGGGGGGAGAGUGGAAUUCCAUGUGUAGCGGUGAAAUGCGUAGAUAUAUGGAGGAACACCGGUGGCGAAAGCGGCUCUCUGGCUUGUAACUGACGCUGAGGCUCGAAAGCGUGGGGAGCAAACAGG